rnacentral:miRNA from 1 species
GCAAGGUCUUGCAUGGAGCUCC